UGGUGCAAUGCCUGCUUCUUUCAGUAACAGAUUAAAGACUAACAAUAUAUUGCUCGAUGAGCAUCGGAUAGCAAAGCUGAGUGAUUAUGGAAUGUCCAUCAUUACAGAAGGCUUUGAGUCACUUGAGGGAAAGGGAGACGGUCAAAAAUCUUGGUAAGGGUCUUUCUUUAACUCCAUUUUUGGGAGAAUGAUCUCAGUAGCAUCAACAAUGUUUACGCUACUUUCACUGCUCAUAUACAAGUAAAAAGGAUAAAGGAUUUGGUUUGCUGGGGUUGGUACCUGCUCCUGUGAGUAAUUCACCUAGAAGCAACAAAGAAUAUUGCAACCAAAGGUUUUGAAUGGUAUUGAAUCUUAUGUUCUUUGACUAGUUGAAUGCAACUGAUUGAUGUUUCUUUGGCCUGUAUUCAUGAUGUUGUGGCUUCUAGUGAUGCCGUUUUUCCUCUAUCUUAUGGAAAGGUCUGUCUUUUAAUGGCACUGCCCCAACCCUUUACUUUCUAUUUUUUUUUCUGGAUUGGCAAAGUCCAAUCUCCAGUUCGCUAUCAAUGGUAUCCAUUUGACAAUGUAAGUCACCAUGGCAUUCUAGGAGCUAAAAUGGAAUAUGUUUGCAAUGGUAUUACAAAGCUCUGAAUAUGCGAUUGAACAACUAUUGCUUCCCAUUUCUUUUUUCCAAAACAAGGCUUCCUUUGUUGUUGUUUUCCAACAGUAAUUGGCAAGGCCUAGGAUUGACGGUGUGGUGUUCCUUUGUUGCAGGCAUAUGACAACGUUAGAGGACGAUGUUUACAAAUUUGGGUUCAUACUACUUGAAUCCUUAGUGGAGCCGAUUGUUAGCGGAAAAGGAGAAGCGUUCUUGUUAAAUGAAAUGGUCUAAAAGUUGAAAGGUUGUCAAUUCAGGGUUGAUCAUUCUCUAGCACUUAUUGUUUUUUAGUAGAAAGCUUUCUUUUAGCUACAAAGAGAUGUACAUUAGUUUUUUCUUUGUCUUUUUUUAUCACUACAUUUUUACAUUUCUUUUCUAAAUACUUGGAAUUUUCGAUGUAAUUUAUGGUGAAGAUGCACUAACAUUCUCAUUUUUAUGAUACUGGCUUAUUAAUUUGUUGAUACCAAGGAAUGAGUAGUCAUUGGGACAUUUUUGGUUA